ACAGCACAGCAACCACUUGAGAUACAGUACCCUAGCUGCCACAGAGCAAUGACAUUACAACCACACUGAACAGCACAGCAACCCCACAGCAACCACUUUAGAUACAGUACCAUAGCAGCCACUCAGUAAUAACAUAACACUGAACAGCAGAGUAAACCCAUAGCAACCACUUUAGAUACAGUACCAUAGCAGCCACUCAGUAAUAACAUAACACUGAACAGCACAGCAACCCCACAGCAACCACUUUAGAUACAUACCAUAGCAGCCACUCAGUAAUGACAUUACAAACACACUGAAAAGCACAGCAACCCCACAGCAACCACUUGAGAUACAGUACCAUAGCAGCCACUCAAGUAAUAACAUAACCACACUGAAAAGCACAGCAACCCCAUAGCAACCACUUGAGAUACAGUACCAUAGCAGCCACUCAAAUAAUAAUAUAAUCACACUGAAAAGCACAGCAACCCCAUAACAACCACUUGAGAUACAGUACCAUAGCAGCCACUCAGUAAUACCAUUACAACCACACUGAACAGCACAGCAACCCCAUAGCAACCACUUGAGAUACAGUACCAUAGCAGCCACUAAGUAAUGACAUUACAACCACACUGAAAAGCACAGCAACCCCACAGCAACCACUUGAGAUACAGUACCCUAGCUGCCACAGAGCAAUGACAAUACAACCACACUGAACAGCACAGCAACCCCACAGCAACCACUUUAGAUACAUACCAUAGCAGCCACUCAGUAAUGACAUUACAACCACACUGAAAAGCACAGCAACCCCACAGCAACCACUUGAGAUACAGUACCAUAGCAGCCACUCCGUAAUAACAUAACACUGAACAGCAGAGUAAACCCAUAGCAACCACUUGAGAUACAGUACCAUAGCAGCCACUCAAGUAAUAAUAUUAGGGGUGAAACGAUUACUCGAGUAAAUCGAGUAACUCGAUUCACAAAAUUGAUCGAUUAAUUUUCUGUGCCUCGAGUAAUCGUUUAUUUAAUUAAUAAACUCAGCGCGCGGUAUUUUCGCGACUUUUAUUUUGACAACGCGCUCAGCGUUACGUCACCCUGCCCGGGAACAAGGAGACGGAGGUUUGAGCAGCGGCAAAAAUGGAAGUGGCGAGAGAAAACAGCGAUUUUAAAGGAAUAAAAGCAUUUUAUGUUCGAACUGUGACCUGUACUCGGUGCAGUGCCAAAACAGCGCGUUUUAAUGCUGCACCAUCUGAGCCGAGGACACCCGAGACGCGAGGACGCCGAGAGAGCAGGUCCUGAUAUAUUUUGGAGAAGCGGCUUGGUGGUAAAAGAAUGCAGCACACUGAUCCAACACUGGCAGAACUGACAACGUCUCAGAAGCUAAGAUGCACAACACAAAGACGAUGUUUAUGCCUUUUUUAUUGAUUUAUACCCUAUAUUUGUUAUUUACAAGAAAUCCAAAUGUGAAAGUAAUGUAAUUAAAUUUAUUUUUUUUAUUGUGGUAUUUAUUUAUUUAUUGUGUUUUAUUUAUUUGUAUUUGCAAUUUGGAAAUGUUGUGAAUUAAAAAAUAUA